GACGAACGCUGGCGGCGUGCUUAACACAUGCAAGUCGAACGGAAAAGCCCAGCUUGCGGGGUGGGCUCGAGGGGCAAGGGUGUGUGUAACGUGAGUAAACUGUCCCUAACUCUGGGGUAAGACUGGGAGAAAGGGGGUCUAAUCGGAUAGGAGCGCUCAUCGUGCGGGGGGGGGUUGGGAGAGUUUUGGCGGUUGGGGAUGGACUCGCGGCAUAUCAGCUUGUUGGUGGGGUAGUGGCUUACCAAGGCGGUGACGGGUAGCCGGCCUGAGAGGGUGACCGGCCACACUGGGACUGAGACACGGCCCAGACUCCUACGGGAGGCAGCAGUGGGGAAUAUUGCACAAUGGGCGGAAGCCUGAUGCAGCGACGCCGCGUGAGGGAUGACGGCCUUCGGGUUGUAAACCGCUUUCGGUAGUGAAGAAGCGAAAGUGACGGUACCUGCUGAAGAAGCACCGGCUAACUACGUG
rnacentral:rRNA from 1 species